CGUGCAGGCGGGCCGGCAAGUCUGAUGUGAAAGCCCCGGGCUCAACCCGGGAAGUGCAUUGGAAACUGCUGGUCUUGAGUUCUGGAGAGGAAGGGGGAGUUCCCGGUGUAGAGGUGAAAUUCGUAGAGAUCGGGAGGAAUACCAGUGGCGAAGGCGCCCUUCUGGACGGCAACUGACGCUGAGACGCGAAAGCGUGGGGAGCAAACAGGAUUAGAUACCCUGGUAGUCCACGCUGUAAACGAUGAGCACUAGGUGUAGCGGGUACUCAUUCCUGCUGUGCCGCAGCUAACGCGUUAAGUGCUCCGCCUGGGGAUUACGGUCGCAAGACUAAA
rnacentral:rRNA from 1 species